rnacentral:rRNA from 1 species
UCCGAAGGGGGCCAUCGUUGUUCGGAAUCACUGGGCGUAAAGCGCACGCAGGCGGAUCGAUAAGUCGGGGGUGAAAGCCCGGGGCUCAACCUCGGAAUUGCCUUCGAUACUGUCGGUCUCGAGUCCGGGAGAGGUGAGUGGAAUUCCUAGUGUAGAGGUGAAAUUCGUAGAUAUUAGGAAGAACACCAGUGGCGAAGGCGGCUCACUGGCCCGGUACUGACGCUCAGGUGCGAAAGCGUGGGGAGCAAACAGG